rnacentral:rRNA from 1 species
UACGGGGGGGGCAAGCGUUGUUCGGAAUUACUGGGCGUAAAGGGCUCGUAGGCGGCCAACUAAGUCAGACGUGAAAUCCCUCGGCUUAACCGGGGAACUGCGUCUGAUACUGGAUGGCUUGAGUUCGGGAGAGGGAUGCGGAAUUCCAGGUGUAGCGGUGAAAUGCGUAGAUAUCUGGAGGAACACCGGUGGCGAAGGCGGCAUCCUGGACCGAUACUGACGCUGAGGCGCGAGAGCGUGGGGAGCAAACAGG